AGGACGAACGCUGGCGGCGUGCUUAACACAUGCAAGUCGAGCGGAAAGGCCCUUUCGGGGGUACUCGAGCGGCGAACGGGUGAGUAACACGUGAGUAACCUGCCCUGGACUUUGGGAUAACCCUCGGAAACGGGGGCUAAUACCGGAUAUGACACGCUCUCGCAUGGGAUGUGUGUGGAAAGUUUUUCGGUCUGGGAUGGGCUCGCGGCCUAUCAGCUUGUUGGUGGGGUGAUUGCCUACCAAGGCGACGACGGGUA
rnacentral:rRNA from 1 species